rnacentral:rRNA from 1 species
GAUGAACGCUGGCGGCGUGCCUAAUACAUGCAAGUCGAGCGAACAGACGAGGAGCUUGCUCCUCUGACGUUAGCGGCGGACGGGUGAGUAACACGUGGAUAACCUACCUAUAAGACUGGGAUAACUUCGGGAAACCGGAGCUAAUACCGGAUAAUAUAUUGAACCGCAUGGUUCAAUAGUGAAAGACGGUUUUGCUGUCACUUAUAGAUGGAUCCGCGCUGCAUUAGCUAGUUGGUAAGGUAACGGCUUACCAAGGCAACGAUGCGUAGCCGACCUGAGAGGGUGAUCGGCCACACUGGAACUGAGACACGGUCCAGACUCCUACGGGAGGCAGCAGUAGGGAAUCUUCCGCAAUGGGCGAAAGCCUGACGGAGCAACGCCGCGUGAGUGAUGAAGGUCUUCGGAUCGUAAAACUCUGUUAUUAGGGAAGAACAAAUGUGUAAGUAACUGUGCACAUCUUGACGGUACCUAAUCAGAAAGCCACGGCUAACUACGUG